UUCGGAUUGGAUCGGAUGAGUUUGGAUUUCGGAUUAAUUUUCGGAUUCGGAUUAUAUUUUGGAUUCGGAUUAAUUCGGAUUGAAAUCGGAUUUGGACCUUUGUCACAAUUCUCACAAAAAAUUAUGAAAUCUAUAAUUAAUGAAAAUUUAUUAACCAUUAAAAAAAAAAGAAAAUGAAAACAAGCUAACAAAUGACAAUCUAAUAAUCUAUAUUGUAUUGUUUCCUUGACAAUAUGACAUUGACAUAUACCAAGAAAAC
rnacentral:lncRNA from 1 species